ACGGCCAACAUACACCUCAAGGCUCUAUAUGGCUAAGAGACCGAAUUAUGGUAUAGUCAAACUACAGUAAUCUCAUUAUGAACAGUCAAGGUACCGCAGGUCUAAGAAUCAGAUACAUUACUACAACAUCGAGUUAGUCAUUGACAAGAAGGUAAACAUCUUAGUGACUACUCGUGAUUGAUCAUGCUCAGUAUCCUUAUUCCCUAACAAGCACUUACACUUUGCUUCGGUAUCUCCAUAUCGUAGAUUCAAGAUCCAUUUAUCCUAAGAAAACAAACGUAUACCAAUCUCUCUGAAUCAAGUACCAUCCCCAUGAUGAUCC
rnacentral:lncRNA from 1 species